AUUGAACGCUGGCGGCAGGCCUAACACAUGCAAGUCGAGCGGAUGAAGGGAGCUUGCUCCUGGAUUCAGCGGCGGACGGGUGAGUAAUGUCUAGGAAUCUGCCUGGUAGUGGGGGAUAACGUCCGGAAACGGGCGCUAAUACCGCAUACGUCGUGAGGGAGAAAGUGGGGGAUCUUCGGACCUCACGCUAUCAGAUGAGCCUAGGUCGGAUUAGCUAGUUGGUGGGGUAAAGGCCUACCAAGGCGACGAUCCGUAACUGGUCUGAGAGGAUGAUCAGUCACACUGGAACUGAGACACGGUCCAGACUCCUACGGGAGGCAGCAGUGGGGAAUAUUGGACAAUGGGCGAAAGCCUGAUCCAGCCAUGCCGCGUGUGUGAAGAAGGUCUUCGGAUUGUAAAGCACUUUAAGUUGGGAGGAAGGGCAGUAAGUUAAUACCUUGCUGUUUUGACGUUACCAACAGAAUAAGCACCGGCUAACUUCGUG
rnacentral:rRNA from 1 species